rnacentral:rRNA from 1 species
CACGUAGGCGGAUAGGUCAGUCAGAUGUGAAAGCCCGGAGCUUAACUCCGGAACUGCAUUUGAUACUACUUGUCUUGAGUAUGGUAGAGGGGGGUGGAAUUCCCGGUGUAGAGGUGAAAUUCGUAGAUAUCGGGAGGAACACCAGAGGCGAAGGCGACCCCCUGGGCCAUAACUGACGCUGAGGUGCGAAAGCGUGGGGAGCAAACAG